rfam:Toxocara canis scaffold114, whole genome shotgun sequence.
GGCCGCGUGGCGAAAUGGGCAACGCGUCGGUCUUCGGAACCGACGAUUGCAGGUUCGAAUCCUGCCGUGGUCG